rnacentral:rRNA from 1 species
UACGUAGGGUGCGAGCGUUAAUCGGAAUUACUGGGCGUAAAGCGUGCGCAGGCGGUUCGUUAAGUUCGUUGUGAAAGCCCCGGGCUCAACCUGGGAACUGCAAUGGAAACUGGCGGGCUUGAGUGUGGCAGAGGGGGGUGGAAUUCCGCGUGUAGCGGUGAAAUUCGUAGAUAUUCGGAAGAACACCAGUGGCGAAGGCGGCUCACUGGCCCGUUACCGACGCUCAGGCGCGACAGCGUGGGGAGCAAACAGG